rnacentral:rRNA from 1 species
CAGUAGCCGCGGGAAAACGAGGGGUGCAAGCGUUAUUCGGAUUGAUUGGGUGUAAAGGGUGUGCAGACGGCUUAUUAAGUCACUUGUUAAAUUCUUCGGCCUAACUGAAGGUCUGCAAGUGAUACUGAUGAGCUAGAGGGUGGAAGAGAGAAGUGGAAUUCUCGGAGUAGCGGUAAAAUGCGUGGAUCUCGAGAGGAACACCAAUGGCGAAGGCAGCUUCUUGGUCCAUUCCUGACGUUCAUACACGAAAGCGUGGGGAGCAAACAGGAUUAGAUACCCCAGUAGUCCCUGUCUCUUAUAC